GUUUCACAUUCACAAACUCCGAGAACAAAAAAUAAAAGAAAAGAAAAGAAAAGAAAAAAGAAAGAAAGAAAAGAAAGAGAAAAAGAAUCUCUCGCUGAUCAGGUGAACUGACUCCUUCUUAAUCAAAAAUUGAGUGAUCCAACAGGGACGACUAGCAGAGGAAAAGGGUAAAAGAUGCGGAUCCCUCCAAAGCUGCGUUUGUAAGCUGUUGCCUGAAUCAAUUUGAUAUCUGAUUCCAUCUUAAAAUUUUAAGAGGAGCUGGUUGUAUUGUCAUUGUUAAGCUUGGAUGGAUAAAAGUUGGAUGCAGAAGGGUAAAUGCCACCCUGACUAUAAACGUGGCUGCGAUGAAUUCAUAAAUUUUGCUUGGUCUCAUCGUACUCCUGAUUUAGGUGAGAGUAUUUUUUGCCCUUGUUUGAGAUGCAAUAAUGUGAACUGCUUGGGUAGAGACGUGGUGCGAGAGCACAUUCGAGAUAAUGGAAUAACACAUAGUUACACUCGUUGGACAAAACAUGGAGAACCUGAAGAGCUAGUUAAUAAUAUUGAGGAAGAAGUCACAAAUGUUAUAGGUGGGGGUGAUAUGCAUGGGAUGUUACAAGCUGCGUUCCCUGAAUCUAGGUUUUUCGCUGGGGAUGGUGAAGUUCCAGAUCAAGCCAAUACAAAUGGAUCAAGUCAGGAUGAUCGCGUUCCAGAUGAGCCGAAUGUGGAGGCCCAUAAAUUUUAUAAGUUGCUGAAAGAUGCAGAAACACCGGUAUUUCAUGAAUGUACUUUUAAUUUUGUGAUGGAAGUUAACUAGUUAAAUGAAUUAGUAGCCCAAAAUUGUGGAGUAAAAACUUUCAAUUUUCAAAAUUUAAAUGAAUUAGUAGUCAAAAUUGUGGAGUAAAAACUUUCAAUUUUCAAUAUUUAAAUGAAUUAGUAGCCCAAAAUUCUCCGA